rnacentral:tRNA from 1 species
GAUGAAAUGGCUGAAAUGAGGCAAUAAAUUGUAAAUUUAUUUAUGAAUGAAAAUUCUUUUAUCA